rnacentral:lncRNA from 1 species
CAGACCCCUGGGCUAACAGGCCAAGGGAAGAACCUCAAUGGCAUCCACUGGGGUCUGUGUCAGCACACCCGGACCAGGUCAGAACAAUGGGCCCCACCAAUGUCUCAAUCUACAGAGAGGUCCUUCCUCACCAAGUUGCCCCCAGAGCCCACCAGAUCCUUAUGGCCAUCCUUAAGAUGAACUCUGCGGAGGGCAGGCUCAAGGCCUUCUCCACCUGUGGAUCUCACCUGAUAGUGCUUUUCAAAUGGUGACCAUCCUUCUGGUAUCAACUUUGAUUUGUCUUCAACUUUCAGUACAAAAGCCUGAAGUCUGGAUCACGGUUCUCACAGUGACAAGUGCUUAUGACGCAAUUAAAAGGAAAUCUUUCUUAAUGCAUCAGUUUCAUAAUCUUUUUUUAAAGGUAUUCUUGUGUUUUUUAAUAAAAUAUUUUCAGUGUCUCACACACUCUUUAAAUACCAGUGACCAUCAUACUGGCCUACUGACAUAUAGAAGAUUGCAGUUACUGUUCUAUGUGCUGGACACACAUACAGAAAAGAUGAAUACAUCAAAAUAUCUGUAUUAGUGAUAUUUUAACUCUAUCUCCCUUGUGGUGGGUGGAAUCUCAGAUUUCUGUUAAAUUAUGAUAUGUGAACAUAUAUAUGCUUGGAGAAGCAGAAAUAAAAGUCUAAUUAUUUUCAAGUGGUGUAUUACAUACAUUAAAAAUCCAAAAGAAUCUUCAAG